AAAGUCGUAACAAGGUUUCCGUAGGUGAACCUGCGGAAGGAUCAUUAACAAAUUCCAUUAUCCAUAUAAAUACACCGUGAAUCGACCCUGUCCUGAAGACGCAACAGCCUUAUUAUGGGCUGGGGCGACCAAGGCGAGGUAUAAAUACUUUGAGGGAUUGUCGCUUGCUUGACUCUGGUCUUGCGCGGCGCGAAUUGUAACUUACAACUUUUAACAAUGGAUCUCUUGGCUCUC
rnacentral:misc_RNA from 1 species